rnacentral:tRNA from 1 species
GGGGAGAUGGCCGAGCGGUCAAUGGCAGCAGACUGUAAAUCUGCCGGCGAACGCCUACGGAGGUUCGAAUCCUUCUCUCCCCA